rnacentral:tRNA from 1 species
GGGAUUAUGGCUUAAUGGUAGAGCGUUUGCCUAGCAUGCAGAAGAUACUGGUUUUAAUACCUAGUACCA